CAUUAUUACUCUUCAGAACAGUUCACAGACAUUUCGUAGCUUCAAUCCUAUGCAGCAAAGCCUGCUAGAUGCUACCUUUGUGGUCUGAUGAAUUGGCCAUUCAUUCUUGCAAAAUUGCUUGAAAACCACCGAGGAAUACAUCUGUUACCACAACAUCAUCAGUGCAGAAAACUGGAACGGCAGCCAGAAGUUGAACUUCAGUUACUAGCAGUGUUUGCAAUUAAGCCAGAUCAUUUGUAUGGCUCACGAACUGGCUCAAGACUGCUUAUUGGGAGUAAGCCACUAUCUAUUCCAGGGAAAACCAGUCUGUUUUUCCUUGAAAUUAAUACUGGCAAUUUAUUUUAUUUUUUCAAAUCUCUAACAGUAACUAAUGUUUGUUUCCCUGAAACUUCCCAGAUGACUUUGAAUCUAAAUUUACUUUCCAUUCUGUGGAGGACUUCCCCCCACCUGAUGAAUUCAAGCCAUUUCAGAAAAUAUAUCCCAGCAAGAUAGCUAGAGAUCCCUCUAAAAAUCCACCAUUGAGAACACAUGUGAGAUGAGAAGAACCUUCUGAUGCUUUCUGGACUGGUAUUAAAAAUUGGAGAACAUCAAGAUAAUAUAUGAAACUGAAG
rnacentral:lncRNA from 1 species